rnacentral:tRNA from 1 species
GGGGGGUUAGCUCAGCUGGGAGAGCGCCUGCUUUGCACGCAGGAGGGGUCAGCGGUUCGAUCCCGCUAGUCUCCACCA